UAAGAGAGAAAUAAUAUAGGAUUUGGUCCAGGACAAUAAAAAGAACUGAUAGCGUCGACUUCAUUGCUUUAUUGUCGUACUGUUUUUACCCCUGCUAACUUCGGCUGGGAACGGGAACCCCAACCUGACCUGACCAAGGCUCAGUAACAGUCGCAAGGUGGCAGAGGAAGGUGAAAAGUGAACCAGUCAAUCAGAGGCGAAGCACGAGGCACACAACGUUUCAAGUGAAGUUACGAUCAAGAUGGAUCCCUAUGGAAUGUGCCAGACGGGCUGUAAUGCGGUUACAAUGGCGUGCUACGCGUCCGCGGGGGUAGUCUUUGGGGCCGGCAGUGUUCCUGCGUGCAGCGCUGCACAGGGCACGUGCAUGACUGCUUGUGCUGGAGCCACAGCGGCCGCUGCCGCCGGCGGUGUGGCCACCGGAGCCGUCACCGGGGCCACCGUCGCGGCCACCAUACUCAAUCCUGUCACCCUUGCAUCUGUCGCAGCGGUCCCUGUAGGGAGGAUGCUGUGGAAGUAUUUUCGGGGAUAGAGGAUUGGCAACCUGAAACGACGGAUUCUGCUGCCUUCCGUCAAGACUUGAUUUUGUCAGUUAAUUUCUGUCUGUAUCUCUUUUCAUUGACUUUGUGCCUUUUGACAUAAUGUAAAGAAAAACUUGUUUAGUUCUGUUUUAAUUGUCUACUAAUGUUUUUGCUAAAAUAAACCCAUAUCCUAAGAUCUAUAAAUAA